CCCUUAGAUGUUCUGGGCCGCACGCGCGCUACACUGACGAAGUCAGCGAGCAUGUCCUACGCCGACAGGUGCGGGGAAUCUUGUCAAACUUCGUCGUGAUGGGGAUUGAUUAUUGAAAUUCUUGAUCAUCAACGAGGAAUUCCUAGUAAGCGCAAGUCAGCAGCUUGCGCUGAUUACGUCCCUGCCCUUUGUACACACCGCCCGUCGCUCCUACCGAUGGGUGAUCCGGUGAAUGAUUCGGACUUCAGCGGCUCCCCUGGGGUGCGCCGGAGAAAGUUUUGUGAACCUUAUCACUUGGAGGAAGGAGAAGUCGUAACA
rnacentral:rRNA from 1 species